CUGGCUUGGUAUUAUGUCAUUUCAGAUGGACAAGAUUAAGUGAAAUCCUGCUUUGGAUUUCUGAUGCUCUCCCCUCUGUUUUGUAUUAACACUGAGAAUUUGUUUCUGUGUUGUUUGUGGCUGAGGCUUUUUUCCCCAUCCCCUGCCUGAGAUGGCUCAAGAAAUGCUGAACAGAGUGCUUAAUGAUUUCCAGUGUUUUCUCUUGACAUUUUAGUUUAGGAGAAUGAGCAAUGCCUCCGCUGGGGACUUCCCUGGCAGAUCCACGUCUGAACAGCCAGGGCUGGCUUCCAAGAACAUUAAAUUCCAGCUGCUUUUCCAUCCAAGGCAAGAUAGGUUAUGCAUAUUUGGUGCCUGGUUUAACGCUGCAAGGGACAUAAUUUUCAGUGGUAUAAUGGACCGCUUGAGUCUCUCUUGUCAACUGGGAGUUUGAGUAUGCAGCGUGUUUGGAAAUGCAGCCCAUCCUAACCCAGCAACUGGCAAGGGAGAAAUCCAAAUCUAUCAGUCGCUAUUUCAGCCUGUGACUUCUGCUCGCCUUUGUCCCACCCGAGCGUGAGUCUAUGAGAUCAUUCAAGUAUGGAGACUUGGCAGCCUCCAUGUGCGUACAAAGACGGCUGUUUGAAUUUCAGACUAAGUGUUGUUCUGGCUAAGGAUAAAUUAUUUGGUGUGUUACAUGAGGAUUUGCUGCUUUAUCUGGCCUGAAUCAGGUUGGUUUAUUAUCACUGCCCUGCAGUCAUGAUUUAGACUGGACUGCAGUUUUCUGUCCUUUAGACUUUUCCAUGUUUUACUGCCUAAAAGUAGAGGCAUUUCUUUUAAGCAAUUUGGUAAUAGAAAGGAUUGUAGUGAUUGGUUAGUAUGAUUGGAAGGCCAAGAAAAGGCAGUGCAAAACGAAAUAGGAGAAAAUACAGAAGUAAUGGUGGGACCAGACAAACAAGACAAAUGUUUUCUUGGGCUUAACUGGUCACUUACGGCUCAUGUACAGAGUUGGACAGUCACUCUAAGCAGUGCAAUCUCCAGAAAAGCUGAAUAAGAGUUUUCGUAUAUGAGAUAUUCUUGCUGGAGAUGGGAUUUACAACUUUUAUUUUUAAAUUCAAAAGCAGGAGCAAUGGUUGUGGUCAUCAUCAGUUCAGAAGGUAGGUUCAUUUUAUAGACAUGAGCUUCAAAGUCUGUUACAAAGAGAUCUACUGCCUGAACUGUGCUGAGUUGCCAGGGUCAUGCGUGCCAUCUGCACCAUCUGUGCAAAGGGUGAGUGCUCUGUUCCUGUGUACUGCAUGGAAUACUAAAGGAGAUCAUUAAUGAGCAUUACAGAGUGAUUUACAACACCUGGGUCCCACUUAAAAUAGUGUUACAGAAAGUAAAACGCAUCUGUGUAUCUGAGCUUGAGAAGACUGAUAGAAUUUUAUUUGCUUCUGAAUUUUGCAGCAUAGAUGAAGAGCACACACCACAUCUCUUUCAUCAUUUUUCUUUAAGUUACUUGUGCUGCUAGUCCAUCCUGGCCGACAUUAGUGGCACUAUAAAAUACAACUGCCCUGGUUUUGGUUCCUUUAUUCACACAUGCUGUAGAUGAAUGUCAGAAAGUAUUUGCUCAUAUUUCUUACAUUGGCAAAUUGCUUUGUCUUUCAAAGAGUACGUGUGCCACUCAGUGCAAGCCUGUGCUUUCUUUGUGGACAGCACUUGAGAAAUGCUAAAAGCAUAAGGGUACAGUGUAUAUGUAUACCCUCCACAUGGUGCUGAUUAUCUUGUCCCAUCUUUCACAUCAGAAGGGUCAAAAACCAAGACGUUACUUCGUGCUAAUCACACGUUGGAAUGCAUUGUUAAAGCCGUGUGCUUACAAAAGAAAAAGUUAUUCAUCCUUUGGCCUUGUUUCAAACAAAAAUGUCAAAGUCUGUGUGAAAGAGCCAUCAGAGCCUUCUGCUGUUACCAGUAGGUAGAGAGGGCUGUGGAGACAAAGGCAGUUAAGCUUUCUUGAAACACAAUUGUAGGAUCACAUCGAUGGUUUGGGUUGGAAAGACCUUAAAGCACACCCAUUUCCAGUCUCCCCACCAUCAGCAGGUUUGCCCAGAUCAGACUGCCCAAAGUAAGCCCAUCCACCUGGCCUUGAGCACCUCCAGGGAUGGGGCACCCGUGGCUUCUCUGGGCAGCAAUGCCAGGGCCUCACCGCCCUUAUAGUAAAGAGUUUAUUCCUUACGUCUAAUCUAAAUCUACCAGCUUAAAGCCAUUAACCUUUGUCUUAUCCAUACGUGCCUUUGUAAAAGGCCCCUCCUCAGCUUUCCUGUGGGCCCCUUUAGGUACUGCAAAGCUGCAGUGAGGUC